CAAGAGUAGUUGAGUUGGCCCAAAAGGCCCUCUACAACCAUCUCCACCCUUUGUUUACACUACCUUAUUGUUGUUGCCUCGGUGGGCGUGCUUACCACACACCCGCCGGCAGACACCUUAUCAACCCUUAUUAUUAGUAUAGUCAGAGCUGUAACAAGCAAAAGAUUAAUAAAUCA
rnacentral:misc_RNA from 1 species